CUAAUUGAGAGAGAGAGUGAGGAAGGAAAAAAGAUGGGGAUGGUGUAGUAGUCAGAAAUAAAGGGGGUGGGGGGGGGGGGGGGCAGGAAUAGUGUGUGUGUGUGUGUGUUGGUCACACACACACACACACACAUUUGCACAUUAAUUACCCUGCAGGUGCUGGCGGUCCGUUUUAAUGGGCUGAGCGAAAGGUCAAGAGGGUUUAGCUGUCACUUCUUCUCUCACCAGAGCGCUUUUGGUAUUUCACAGUUUCACAUUCUCAUUUCAAUAUAGGGGCGUCUUAUUAAGAGGUUAAUGAACCCGUUGCAUAGAUAAGUUUGUAAUCAUGGCCGCAUUUUGGGAAAGCAAAGUUGACCAAUUACACUUAAUUGACUGAACACUAUGUAAACUGUGAGGCUGCUAAAGUUUGUGGAAAGUCUUUUAUUUAUAGUAGUUAGCGUAGGUUUGGGGGUGUUAGUGUUAGAACUUGGCGUAGGUUUGGGGGUAUUAGUGUUAGAACUUGGCGUAGGUUUGGGGGUGUUAGUGUUAGAACUUGGCGUAGCUUUGGGGGUAUUAGUGUUAGAACUUGAUGUCGGUUUGGGGGUAUUAGUGUUAGAAAUUUGUGUCGGUUUUGGGGUAUUAGCGUUAGAAAAUAGGUGGCAUUAGUGUUAGAACUUGGUGUUGGUUUGGGGUCAGUUGUGUUAGAACUUGGACAGCAUUAGCAUUAGAGCAUCGUUUUGUGGCCUUAGCAUUAGAACUUAGCAUCGGUUUGUGGCAUUAGUGUUAGAACUUGGCGUCGGAUUGGAGGCGUUAGCUUUAGAACUUAGCCUCAUUUUGGGGCCAUUACUGUAAGAACUUGGCGUCAGGUUGAAGGCAUUAGCUUUAGAACUUAGCGUCAGUUUGGGGGUAUUAGUGUUAGAACUUGGAGGGCAUUCGUGUUAGAACUUGGCAUCGGUUUGAGGGCAUUAGCAUUAGAUCUUGGAUGGCAUUAGAUCUUAGCGUUGGUUUGGGGUCAGCAGUGUUAGAACUUUGACAGCAAUAGAAUUAGAGCAUCGGUUUGUGGCGUUAGCAUUAGGACUUGGCGUCAUAUUGGAGGCAUUAGUGCUAGAUUUUAGAUGGCAUUAGCAUUAGAACUUAGCAUUGGUUUGUGGCGUUAGCAUCAGAACUUAGCGUCGGGUUGUGGGCAUUAGCAUUAGAACUUGGCCAACUGUAAAUGUAACGUGGACAUGAUGUUACAUCUUUCUCCACCUCCAGAAAUGGUUUGGAUUUUGAAACUUAGACAGGUGUUAAUUGCAGGUCAUUUCCCUUCCUGCUUUAUCUUCCAUUUGAUACUUAUAGUGUUCUUUUUUUUUUUUUUUUUUUAAGGCCAGUAUACUGUUGUCUGUAUAUACAAUAUACGACACCCCAUCUUUCUUGAACUGACUUGUCUGUUCUCCAGAGUGCAAUACCAUGUCGCUGCAACAGUU
ensembl:lncRNA